GUAUGGAGGACCUUUGGGAUAGCAUUGAAAAUGUAAACGAGGAAAAUACCUAAUUUAAAAAAAAAAACAAAAAACAAAAAAAAAAAAACCAACCAAACAAAAAAGAAUACUCUGAAAUGCUUGCAGACAAGAACCUAGCAUAAUACUCUCCUGAGAGGCUUCAUCCAUCAGCAGAUGGAUGUAGAUGCAGAGACCCACCACCAAACAUCAGGAGGAUUCCCCUAGAGUUUUGUGGAAGCGUAGGUGAUAGAAGUGAGAAAGUCAGAAGGGCCAAGGACAUCAUAAAAAGACUCAGAGUCAACGAGUCUAGGACUAUGGGGGCUCACAGAGCCUUGGCCACCAACCAAGAACCACACAGGAACUGGACUUAGACUCCCUACUCAUUUGUAGCAAAUGUGCAGCAUAAUCUUCAUGUGCAUCCCCUAACAAUUGGUGCAGCGGCUGUCUUGGUCCCUGUUCCUUGGCAUUGGAUCCCCUUCCCCAUACCUGAACUGCCAGUUUGGACCUCAGUAGGAGAAGAUGUGCCUAGUCCUGCUGAGACUAGAUAUCCCAGGCUGGGGUGGUAUUCAAGAGGAACUCCCCUUCUCUAAGGAGAAGGGGAAGGGGCAAUGGGUGGGGGAGAUUUGUAAGGGUGGGCCUGGGAAUAGAGGAAGGAGGGGGGCUGAGAGGCAGAUAUAAAGUAAAUAAUCUUUUUAAAAAAAGAAUAAUGCUGGCUGUAACACGGGACAAUAUAGAAGUGGAAGCAACUACAUUAAAAUUGGAGAAAAUUGGGAAGACUAAAAGCACACAUAACACAUGACAAGUAGCAAUACUUGUAAACUGGCACUGGUCUGGCUCCUAGUACUACUAUUGAUGCUGGAUUUCAGAGGAGAGUGAUACACAUUUGUGUGGGGAAUGGAAAAUCCUAGUGGAAAGAAGACAAUCCUAGACUUAAAGAAAUAACUGCCUUACUAAAAGUACAGCUAUGAGAUUCACUUUAGAAGUCACAAAUUUACCCAUAUGCUUUCUAAACUGGUGAGUAUUUAUGCUUGGGCCAUGAGAAGAAGCAACAGAAUAGAUGAUUUUGAUGAAGAGGCCAUAGAAAUGGAAAACUCUGAUGCCCAACCACUGCUAAGUGAGGUAAUGUAAUGGUAAAAAGGACAAUAUUUCAUUAAUAUCAAGUCAGUUGAUCUGUGAAAAUAAAUGGAGUUACCAUAGACAUAGAGGUAUCACAGCUGGAUGGUGAUCAUACACGCCUUUAAUCCCAGCACUUGGGAAGGAGAGGCAGGCAAAUCUCUGAGGUUAAGGCCAGCUAGUUCCUCGGGGUGAGUUUCAGGGUGGCCAGGGCUACCAUGGGAAACCCUGUUUCAAAAAACCCAAACUAAAACAAAACAGAAAGGAUGGAAGGAAAAAGAGAAAGGAAGGGAGGUAGGAAGGUAUCAGCAUCUUUAGUGUGAUUCUGAUGUCUGUGCUGCAUUGUAUUUACAUGGCCAAAGGCUGGGAAAGUCGAGGGAAAUUUAAAUAUUAUGCCCACACUGUGAAUCAUGAAGAAAAUAAAAAGUAGGGGAUGCUGAAAAUGUCUCUGCACUUUGCCUGGAACUCCCCUGACAAACUUCCACUGACACCUAUUUUGAGCCAGCCUUGACCCAGGUACUCUCUGGUGCUAGCUAUAAAAGUAAAUCCAAAUAUCUUCUCUCUUAGUUUCCAUUGCACUGAAGGGACAGAAGGAAUGCCACACCAAGAAUAAAAAUUAAAAGACCUUUGGAACCCCAGAUUAACUGUGCAUUGGAGUUCGGAACCACCAGAACAUCAAGUAAUAGACUGCCGAGGAUUCUAGAAGAUCCUUGUUUGAUCCUCCCGAGAAGCCUCUCUCUAAGUAAUAUUUGGAACUCUCUUCCCUCGAAGAAAACAAAACAGGAACCUAACAUGGCUUCCCUCCGAAAGGCCCAACAAACAGCUGACUGAGACAUAAGGAGAUACAACCAACCAAUGGACUGAAGUCAGGAACCUCUGAACCUCAUUGUUGAGCUCAACUUGUGAUAAUGUGGCCAUUGAGAGAAAUGAACUGCUUGUGAGGUUCCUAUGGCAGCUUGCUGCUUCCACUGCCUCAGGUCUGCCGGUUCCUUCAGGAUUGAACUAAAACUGCUGGUUCGCAUGUGGUAUAUGCUUGCCUAGAGGACCGGUUUGCAGCUGCUGAAUUGUAUUUGGUGUUUGCUGUGGGACUGAACUGCUAAGAAAGGAGAUCAAGUUCACCCCCAAAAGAACUACUGCUAAACAGAGCUCAAGGAACCCUAUGGAAGUGGAAAGAGGAGGUGGAAAGGAUGGGAGAGCCAGAAGGAAUGGAGGACACCAGGAGAAGAAGACAGUGUAAGUCACCUGACCAAAGCCAUAUGAAAUCACAAGGACUGAGGCAGCACAGUGCCUACAUGGGUCUUUACCUCCUCUGCUUAUUUAUUAUAUUUUUCACUUUCAUAUUUUUAUGGGACUCCUGAAUGUGUGAAUGGGUGGGUCUCUGAUUCCUGUACCUUUUCUUGGGGCUGUCUUACUUGUGUUGAUUUGCUUUCUCCAACUUCAAUGUGAUGGUUUGGUUUUAGUUUAUUAUCUUUAUUUUACUUUAUUUUGUAAUUUCUUAGAAGCCUGUUCUUUGCUAAUGAUAGGUAGAAACAGAGUGUAUUUGGAGGGGAAAGGAUGGGAAGAGAAACUUGGAGGAAUAGAGGUAGG